rnacentral:rRNA from 1 species
UGUCGUCAGCUCGUGUCGUGAGAUGUUGGGUUAACGUCCGUAACGAGCGCAACCUUGUCCUUAGUUACCAGCACGUUAUGGUGGGCACUCUAAGGAGACUGCCGGUGACAAACCGGAGGAAGGUGGGGAUGACGUCAAGUCAUCAUGGCCCUUACGGCCUGGGCUACACACGUGCUACAAUGGUCGGUACAAAGGGUUGCCAAGCCGCGAGGUGGAGCUAAUCCCAUAAAACCGAUCGUAGUCCGGAUCGCAGUCUGCAACUCGACUGCGUGAAGUCGGAAUCGCUAGUAAUCGUGAAUCAGAAUGUCACGGUGAAUACGUUCCCGGGCCUU